AACGAACGCUGGCGGCAGGCUUAACACAUGCAAGUCGAACGCACCUUUCGGGGUGAGUGGCAGACGGGUGAGUAACGCGUGGGAAUCUACCCUUCUCUACGGGAUAGCUCCGGGAAACUGGAAUUAAUACCGUAUACGUCCUGAGGGAGAAAGAUUUAUCGGGGAAGGAUGAGCCCGCGUUGGAUUAGCUAGUUGGUGGGGUAAAGGCCUACCAAGGCGACGAUCCAUAGCUGGUCUAAGAGGAUGAUCAGCCACAUUGGGACUGAGACACGGCCCAAACUCCUACGGGAGGCGGCAGUGGGGAAUAUUGGACAAUGGGCGCAAGCCUGAUCCAGCCAUGCCGCGUGAGUGAUGAAGGCCCUAGGGUUGUAAAGCUCUUUCAGUGGGGACGAUAAUGACGGUACCCACAGAAGAAGCCCCGGCUAACUUCGUG
rnacentral:rRNA from 1 species